CGGGACGGGUGAGUAACGCGUGGGUAACCUGCCUCAUACAGGGGGAUAACAGUUAGAAAUGACUGCUAAUACCGCAUAAGCGCACGGGGAUGCAUAUCUUUGUGUGAAAAACUCCGGUGGUAUGAGAUGGACCCGCGUCUGAUUAGCUAGUUGGUGAGGUAACGGCUCACCAAGGCGACGAUCAGUAGCCGACCUGAGAGGGUGACCGGCCACAUUGGGACUGAGACACGGCCCAAACUCCUACGGGAGGCAGCAG
rnacentral:rRNA from 1 species